AUUGAACGCUCGCGGCAUGCCUUACACAUGCAAGUCGAACGGUAACGCGGGGCAACCUGGCGACGAGUGGCGAACGGGUGAGUAAUACAUCGGAACGUGCCCAGUAGUGGGGGAUAGCCCGGCGAAAGCCGGAUUAAUACCGCAUACGACCUACGGGUGAAAGCGGGGGAUCGCAAGACCUCGCGCUAUUGGAGCGGCCGAUGUCAGAUUAGCUAGUUGGUGGGGUAAAAGUCUACCAAGGCGACGAUCUGUAGCUGGUCUGAGAGGACGACCAGCCACACUGGGACUGAGACACGGCCCAGACUCCUACGGGAGGCAGCAGUGGGGAAUUUUGGGACAAUGGGGGCAACCCUGAUCCAGCCAUGCCGCGUGCGGGAAGAAGACCUUCGGGUUGU
rnacentral:rRNA from 1 species